rnacentral:rRNA from 1 species
AUCUGAGCGUCUUAUUUUAAUAAGUCAAAACUUUCAACAACGGAUCUCUUGGUUCUGGCAUCGAUGAAGAACGCAGCGAAAUGCGAUAAGUAAUGUGAAUUGCAGAAUUCAGUGAAUCAUCGAAUCUUUGAACGCACAUUGCGCCCAUUAGUAUUCUAGUGGGCAUGCCUGUUCGAGCGUCAUUUCAACCCUUAAGG